CACAAGCGUGGAGCAUGUGGUUUAAUUCGAAGCAACGCGAAGAACCUUACCAGGCCUUGACAUGCAGAGAACUUUCCAGAGAUGGAUUGGUGCCUUCGGGAACUCUGACACAGGUGCUGCAUGGCUGCCGUCAGCUCGUGUCGUGAGAUGUUGGGUUAAGUCCCGUAACGAGCGCAACCCUUGUCCUUAGUUACCAGCACGUUAUGGUGGGCACUCUAAGGAGACUGCCGGUGACAAACCGGAGGAAGGUGGGGAUGACGUCAAGUCAUCAUGGCCCUUACGGCCUGGGCUACACACGUGCUACAAUGGUCGGUACAAAGGGUUGCCAAGCCGCGAGGUGGAGCUAAUCCCAUAAAACCGAUCGUAGUCCGGAUCGCAGUCUGCAACUCGACUGCGUGAAGUCGGAAUCGCUAGUAAUCGUGAAUCAGAAUGUCACGGUGAAUACGUUCCCGGGCCUU
rnacentral:rRNA from 1 species